UCGGGAAUUUUGGGCAAUGGGCGCAAGCCUGAUCCAGCCAUGCCGCGUGGAUGAUGAAGGCCUUAGGGUUGUAAAAUCCUUUCGUGGGGGACGAUAAUGACGGUACCCCAAGAAGAAGCUCCGGCUAACUUCGUGCCAGCAGCCGCGGUAAUACGAAGGGGGCUAGCGUUGUUCGGAUUUACUGGGCGUAAAGCGCGUGUAGGCGGGUCGUUAAGUUGGGGGUGAAAUCCCGAGGCUCAACCUCGGAACUGCCUUCAAAACUGGCGACCUGGACCCAAGUAGAGGCAAGUGGAAUUGCGAGUGUAGAGGUGAAAUUCGUAGAUAUUCGCAGGAACACCAGUGGCGAAGGCGACUUGCUGGGCUUGUAGUGACGCUGAGACGCGAAAGCGUGGGGAGCAAACAGGAUUAGAUACCCAAGUAGUCCCUGAGCGGGCUGGCAAGGCGCAU
rnacentral:rRNA from 1 species